GACAUUUUGGUCUAAUGGUAUGAUCUCUGCUUCACAUGCAGAAAGUCCCGGGUUCGAUACCUGCUACUAACC